ACUCUCGGCAACGGAUAUCUCGGCUCUUGCAUCGAUGAAGAACGUAGCGAAAUGCGAUACUUGGUGUGAAUUGCAGAAUCCCGUGAACCAUCGAGUCUUUGAACGCAAGUUGCGCCUAAAGCCAUUAGGUUGAAAGCACGUCUGCCUGGGCGUC
rnacentral:rRNA from 1 species